rnacentral:lncRNA from 1 species
GAGGCGUCUGUGCCUGCAGACUGCAGUGUAUCCCCCUGCAGGCCGGCCGGUUGAUUACUUGAUUGCAUCGUUCCCCUCCAAUUAGCAGAAUAUCAUGGAAGGGAUCCCUAACCUCGGCCGGGUAAGAUAUAAGAUCUCUCUUCUUCUUCCGUCGUUCGGUUCAGUAGCUGCUUAGCUAUGCUACAAAAGGCCAGGAAUUUUACUUCCAUUAUUAUCUGAAGAAAAAAAAAGAAACAGAACUAUACUAUACUACCGGUCUGAUCACAAGUGGUUUGCAGCACUCGCAGAUUCUGCCCAUAACAAAUCCCCGGAAACAAAAGAAUAAGGUCAGGUUUUACUCUUCCAGGCCUCUGAAUUUCUCAUCUUAUUCCCUUCUCUUUUCUCGUUUCUUUCUGCAUCAUUGUAUAAAUUUUUUUUUUUUUCACACGAUUCCCGCAAAUCUUGAGCUCGCAGGAGAAAAACACAGAUCAAGAUAGGAGCAACAGCAACAGCCCUUGGCCUCUGAUAGCGAUCGGCUUGCUACUUUCGUUGCUGCUGUUUUUGCUGGUGUACAAGACAUUGCUGGAUGCGCCGCUGGUGGUCCAGUUCGCCGCUGUCAAACAGAAGGCACGCCGUCUCCUCUAGCAAAAGCUCUACAUACGCCUCGUAAUAAUUAUUGAUCUCGUCUCAAGUCUCAACUCGAUCGUUCAGAUACCAUGCAUACCAGUUCGUCGUCAUAGAUUCGGUUUGUGCCUAUACAUCUGCUUAAUUCUAGUUUUGGUUGUUGGUGAUCCUGUGAUCUUUCCAUUAAUUCAGUGUGGAGUAUUGUAUCAUCUUAAUUAUGUCAGAAAUAGAUUCUGGUGUUGAUUGCUUGUACUGUUGACGCAUGCACAGCAGAUCUCUCAAGGUGAAAUGAUUUCUAAGACAAUUUCACCCUCCAGUUCUCUGUAUAUGCAUGAUUCGACCGCCUAGUGUGUUUGAUAAGAGAGUUCUAGCACUGUGUCCAGGAAAAUAAUCACUUCCCUGUAUGUGUGACGAACCUUUAGAUGUGUUUUUUUGGAUUCGCAGUACAGUAUAUACAAUUUUAAUUUAAUGACAUAUAUAUUUUGAGAUGACAUCCGAAUUAUCAGUUUGGAAUAGAGCACAUCCGUAGCAUUUUUAUAGGAGGUUGACUCCUUGAGUAUCACCUGCCACGAACUCUUGAUUGCCAAUAACAGUCCGGUAGCUAUCUUAUCAGCCGGGAUCCUUUGAAUUUGGCCUCCAUUUAAGAUCUUCUUCCAUGGGAUGAUUAUAGGUGGCCUCUGAGUCUCCUGAAGCUGCAGUUGACAUUUGUGCUGCAAAAAGAAACAAG